rnacentral:lncRNA from 1 species
CACCCCCCGCUCCUCCUCCCCCGAUUUUUUUCCCUUCGAGAGGGUUCGUUCGUUCGUUCGCUCGCUCGCUCUUCCAUCUCUUCCUCGCAGCAGCUCUUCGAUCUCUUCCUCGCCAUGCCUCCCUUCCACGAUUGCCGUGGUAAGCAAGGGCCCCGAACUGAAUUGGGAUCGCCUGCCUGUUUGUACGUUGUUUCGCCGGAGAUCUGGAGGAAUUUUUUGCUUCGGCGUGCUGAUUUUCUGUGUGUUUGUUUGUUCGUGUAGAUGGCGGUCUGCUUGUCCUGGACCCAGUUGCGGAGGCUCUGUUCAGUGGCAUGCGGCAUCGGAAGCGUGCGCGCGUGACGGCCGUGCACCCCCGCGUCUUCGCCGCUGCAGAGGAGGCGCUCCGGGCGGCGCCGGUGGCCAAGAGGCAGAGACUAAGGGAGGCGCCNNN